GAUGAACGCUGGCGGCGUGCUUAACACAUGCAAGUCGAACGAUGAAAGCGGGAGCUUGCUCCUGCUGGAUUAGUGGCGAACGGGUGAGUAACACGUGAGCAAUCUGCCCCGAACUCUGGGAUAAGCGUUGGAAACGACGUCUAAUACCGGAUACGACGCGCGAAGGCAUCUUCUGCGCGUGGAAAGAAUUUCGGUUCGGGAUGAGCUCGCGGCCUAUCAGCUAGUUGGUGAGGUAACGGCUCACCAAGGCGACGACGGGUAGCCGGCCUGAGAGGGUGACCGGCCACACUGGGACUGGGACACGGCCCAGACUCCUACGGAAGGCAGCAGUGGGGAAUAUUGCACAAUGGGCGAAAGCCUGAUGCAGCAACGCCGCGUGAGGGACGACGGCCUUCGGGUUGUAAACCUCUUUUAGCAGGGAAGAAGCGAAAGUGACGGUACCUGCAGAAAAAGCACCGGCUAACUACGUGCCAGCAGCCGCGGUAACAC
rnacentral:rRNA from 1 species